CCUACGGGAGGCAGCAGUGGGGAAUAUUGCGCAAUGGGCGAAAGCCUGGCGCAGCAACGCCGCGUGAGGGAACGAAGGCCUUAGGGUUGUAAACCUCUUUCAGCAGGGACGAAGCGAAAGUGACGGUACCUGCAGAAGAAGCACCGGCUAACUACGUGCCAGCAGCCGCGGUAAU
rnacentral:rRNA from 1 species